GAUGAACGCUAGCGGCAGGCUUAAUACAUGCAAGUCGAGGGGCAGCACAGGUAGCAAUACUGGGUGGCGACCGGCAAACGGGUGCGGAACACGUACACAACUUACCUUAGAGUGGGGGAUAGCCCAGGGAAACUUGGAUUAAUACCCCAUAAAACAGGGGGCCCGCAUGGGCAUAUUGUUAAAGAUUUAUCGCUUUAAGAUGGGUGUGCGUAUGAUUAGGUAGUUGGUAGGGUAAAGGCCUACCAAGCCGACGAUCAUUAACUGGUGUGAGAGAACGACCAGUCACACGGGCACUGAGACACGGGCCCGUCUCCUACGGGAGGCAGCAGUAAGGAAUAUUGGUAAAUGGACGGAAGUCUGAACCAGCCAUGCCGCGUGAAGGAUGAAGGUCCUCUGGAUUGUAAACUUCUUUUAUAGGGGGCGAAAAAGGGCCAUUCUUGGUCAACUGACGGUACCCUAUGAAUAAGCACCGGCUAACUCCGUGCCAGCAGCCGCGGUAAUAC
rnacentral:rRNA from 1 species